GCGGCCGCUCCGGUUGAUCUUGGCGGAGGUCACUGCUAUCGGUGUUCGAUUAAGCCAUGCGAGUCGAGAGGCGUUAUGGCCUCGGCGGACUGCUCAGUAACACGUGGAUAACCUACCCAAGAGUCCGGGAUAACCCCGGGAAACUGGGGAUAAUACCGGAUAGAUCAAACAGGCUGGAAGGCGGUUUGGUUGAAACUUCCGGGGCUUUUGGAUGGGUCUGCGGCUGAUUAGGUUGUUGCCGGUGUAAUGUACCGUCAAGCCUGUAAUCAGUACGGAUUGUGGGAGCAAGAGCCCGGAGAUGGAUUCUGAGACACGAAUCCAGGCCCUACGGGGCGCASAGGCGCGAAAACUCUACAAUGCAGGCAACUGCGGUAGGGGAACAUCGAGUGAUCCUCAUAUUGGGGGUCUGUCCACUCGCCUAAAAAGCGGGUGUUAGCAAGGGCCGGGCAAGACCGGUGCCAGCCGCCGCGGUAACACCGGCGGCUCGAGUGGUAACCGCUAUUAUUGGGUCUAAAGGGUCUGUAGCCGGCCGGAUAAGUCUUUUGGGAAAUCCAGCUGCUCAACAGUUGGGCUUCCAGAAGAUACUGUUCGGCUCGAGACCGGGAGAGGUGAGAGGUACUUCAGGGGUAGGGGUGAAAUCUUGUAAUCCUUGAAGGACCACCAGUGGCGAAGGCGUCUCACCAGGACGGAUCUGACGGCAAGGGAUGAAAGCUAGGGGCACGAACCGGAUUAGAUACCCGGGUAGUCCUAGCCGUAAACGAUACUCGCUAGGUGUCAGCCACGGUGCGACCGUGGUUGGUGCCGUAGGGAAGCCGUGAAGCGAGCCACCUGGGAAGUACGGCCGCAAGGCUGAAACUUAAAGGAAUUGGCGGGGGAGCACUACAACGGGUGGAGCUGCGGUUUAAUUGGAUUCAACGCCGGAAAGCUUACCGGGACCGACAGCGAUAUGAAGGCCAGGCUGAAGACCUUGCCGGAUUAGCUGAGAGGAGGUGCAUGGCCGUCGCCAGUUCGUACUGUGAAGCAUCCUGUUAAGUMAGGCAACGAGCGAGAC
rnacentral:rRNA from 1 species